rnacentral:rRNA from 1 species
AAAGAAAGUAAGCAAGGGCGCAUGGCGGAUGCCUUGGCUCUCGGAGGCGAUGAAGGACGUGAUAAGCUGCGAUAAGCUUCGGGUAGGUGCAAAUAACCUUUGAUCCGAAGAUUUCCGAAUGGGACAACCCGUCAUUCUGAAGGAAUGACAUCUUGCAUGGCAAGAGGCUAACGCAGGGAACUGAAACAUCUUAGUACCUGCAGGAAAAGAAAAUAAUAAUGAUUCCCCAAGUAGUGGCGAGCGAACGGGGAUUAGCCCAAACCAAUGUUGUUACGGCAAUAUUGGGGUUGUAGGACCACGAUGUCGCAAGAAAUUUAGUGAGAAGAACCCUUUGGAAAAUGGGACCAUAGACGGUGAUAGUCCGGUAUUCGAAGCUAAACGAAGCGUAGUGGUAUCCUGAGUAGCGCGGGACACGAGAAAUCUUGCGUGAAUCAGCCGGGACCAUCCGGUAAGGCUAAAUACUCCCGAGAGACCGAUAGCGAACCAGUACUGUGAAGGAAAGGUGAAAAGCACUUCGAACAGAAGAGUGAAAUAGUCCCUGAAACCGUGCGCCUACAAGCGGUCGGAGCUUCGUAAGAAGUGACGGCGUGCCUUUUGCAUAAUGAACCUACGAGUUACUUUUUCCGGCAAGGUUAAGCAUUUCAAAAUGUGUAGCCGAAGCGAAAGCGAGUCUUAAUAGGGCGACUAGUCGGAAGGAGUAGACGCGAAACCAAGUGAUCUACCCUUGGUCAGGUUGAAGGUUAGGUAACACUAACUGGAGGACCGAACCGAUAAGCGUUGAAAAGCUUCCGGAUGAACUGAGGGUGGGGGUGAAAGGCUAAUCAAACUUGGAGAUAGCUCGUACUCCCCGAAAUGCAUUUAGGUGCAGCCUCGGGAAUUACUACUGUGAGGUAGAGCGACUGAUAAGAUGCGAGGGCUUCACCGCCUAUCAAGUCUUGAUAAACUCCGAAUGCGCAGUAGUUCUAUCCCGGGAGUGAGGGCAUGGGUGCUAAGGUCCAUGUCCUAAAGGAGAAGAAUCCGGACCAUCAGCUAAGGUCCCGAAAUAAUUGCUAAGUUGAACUAACGAAGUCAGAUUGCUAAGACAGCUAGGAUGUUGGCUUGGAAGCAGCCAUUCAUUUAAAGAGUGCGUAACAGCUCACUAGUCGAGGAGUUUGGCGUGGAUAAUAAUCGGGCAUUAAGCAAUUUACCGAAGCUAUGGGAUCAGUAAUGAUCGGUAGGGGAGCAUUCCACUCUGCGUCGAAGGUGAAGCGUGAGCUUUGCUGGAGCGUGUGGAAAAGCAAAUGUAGGUAUAAGUAACGAUAAAGGGGGUGAGAAACCCCCUCGCCGAAAGACUAAGGUUUCCUGAUCAACGCUAAUCGGAUCAGGGUUAGUCGGGUCCUAAGGCUCAGCCGAACGGUGAUGCCGAUGGCAGAACAGGUUAAUAUUCCUGUACUACCUUAAGGAGUGACGUGGAGACGGAGUCGUGACAGCGCCGCGGACUGACGGAAUAGUCCGUUGAAGGGUGUAGAUGUUGAUCUUUGCAGGCAAAUCCACAAAGAGAGUCGAACCUGAUAGUAUACCAAUUCCUUCGGGAAACGGUAAUAGUGCGUGUAAACAUACUCCCGAGAAAAUCCGCUAAACUUAAUCCUUUAGGUACCCGUACCGCAAACGGACACACGUAGUCGGGUUGAAUAUACUAAGGCGCUUGAGUGAUUCACGGUUAAGGAACUAGGCAAAUUAACCCUGUAACUUCGGGAUAAAGGGUCCCAACGAGAGUUGGGCGCAGAGAAUAGGUCCAGGCAACUGUUUAACAAAAACACAGGGCUGUGCCAAAUUGAAAGAUUACGUAUACAGCCUGACACCUGCCCGGUGCUGGAAGGUUAAGAGGAGAUGUCAUCGCAAGAGAAGCAUUGAAUUGAAGCCCCAGUAAACGGCGGCCGUAACUAUAACGGUCCUAAGGUAGCGAAAUUCCUUGUCGGGUAAGUUCCGACC